UACGUAGGGUGCGAGCGUUAAUCGGAAUUACUGGGCGUAAAGCGUGCGCAGGCGGCUAUUUAAGCUUGCUGUGAAAGCCCCGGGCUUAACCUGGGAACUGCAGUGAGAACUGGAUGGCUGGAGUGUGGCAGAGGGGGGUGGAAUUCCACGUGUAGCAGUGAAAUGCGUAGAGAUGUGGAGGAACACCGAUGGCGAAGGCAGCCCCCUGGGCUAACACUGACGCUCAGGCACGAAAGCGUGGGGAGCAAACAGG
rnacentral:rRNA from 1 species